AGUGAACGCUGGCGGUAGGCCUAACACAUGCCAGUCGAACGGCAGCACAGUAAGAGCUUGCUCUUACGGGUGGCGAGUGGCGGACGGGUGAGGAAUACAUCGGAAUCUACUUUUUCGUGGGGGAUAACGUAGGGAAACUUACGCUAAUACCGCAUACCACCUACGGGUGAAAGCAGGGGAUCUUCGGACUUUGCCCGAUUGAAGGACCCGAUGUCGGAUUAGCUAGUUGGCGGGGUAAAGGCCCACCAAGGCGACGAUCCGUAGCUGGUCUGAGAGGAUGAUCAGCCACACUGGAACUGAGACACGGUCCAGACUCCUACGGGAGGCAGCAGUGGGGAAUAUUGGACAAUGGGCGCAAGCCUGAUCCAGCCAUACCGCGUGGGUGAAGAAGGCCUUCGGGUUGUAAAGCCCUUUUGUUGGGAAAGAAAAGCAGCAGGUUAAUACCCCGCUGUUCUGACGGUACCCAAAGAAUAAGCACCGGCUAACUUCGUG
rnacentral:rRNA from 1 species